rnacentral:rRNA from 1 species
GACGAACGCUGGCGGCGUGCUUAACACAUGCAAGUCGAACGGAAAGGCCCUGCUUUUGUGGGGUGCUCGAGUGGCGAACGGGUGAGUAACACGUGAGUAACCUGCCCUUGACUUUGGGAUAACUUCAGGAAACGGGGGCUAAUACCGGAUAGGAGCUCCUGUUGCAUGGUGGGGGUUGGAAAGUUUCGGCGGUUGGGGUUGGACUCGCGGCUGAUGCGCUUGUUGGUGGGGGAGGGGCUUACCAAGGCUUUGACGGGUAGCCGGCCUGGGAGGGUGACCGGCCACAUUGGGACUGGGGUACGGCCCAGACUGCUACGGGAGGCAGCGGUGGGAAUUAUUGCACAAUGGGCGGAAGCCUGAUGCAACAACGCCGGGUGCGGGAUGACGGCCUUCGGGUUGUAAACCGCUUUCGCCUGUGACGAAGCGUGAGUGACGGUAAUGGGUAAAGAAGCACCGGCUAACUACGUG